CCGGUCCAGCUCCGGUCCGGCUCCGGUCCGGCUCCGGAGCCUCUGCGGAGCUCCGGUCUCUUUCCGUAGGGAUCCUAUUUUUCUGGACGCCGGAGCCCUACCGCGUCAAUUCAGACAGAAGCACGUCGGGUGCCCGGAAGGAAACACGAAGCGUGUUCCAAAAUAAGUGACUUCAAAAUAAAAUCUGUGUCGUGUUGUUGCCUCAAUAUUCUUUUUGGUACUUCUUCUGGUAGAAAACAG